GCUCCGUCUUCGGAGGAAUCCGGCUGAGUGCAGCCGUGUGGGCUUGUUGGAUGGCUUUCCUUCGGUUCAGGGAUAGACUGGGGCGCCAAAUAGGAAGGAGUUGCCCUCGCGGAGCCUAAAAGUGAGAAUUCAGGCGUUGAGGCGCAGUUUUGUGAGGACCGAUACUAGGUGACCAGAGAAAACUCGAACCUCUCGCUAAGCGAACAGUUGAUUUGACCCAGGCGAAGAUGGCGAGCCGGAUUCUCUACACAACGGCGGGCGGAGCGACACCAGCCCAAAAGUCCCUUCCUUUCCUCGAAAGAAGCAUGCGCGACCUUUAAAGUUGUAGAGUGGAGCAUCCUGGGAGUUUGCACCUUUCUAUUGGGACUGCUCUUUCCUGUUCUGCAGUCUUACCUGGGCUCACUCUUGUGUCUGCAAUCAUGACCUAUCAACAAGCUGGCCAGGCCUAUGUGGCCUCAUUCACCUGCCUGGAAAUUGACUAGUGCUGUGAUCUGAUUACCUGGUUUUCCUCCAUUUGGCUUCUCCAGUAAAUAAACUUGGACUUCCUAUGUGAUGGUCUCCAAAAAGAAAAGAAUAAAAGCAGCAAGACAUCUUGGGAUUGAAGCUCAGAUGUGUUUUAACAUCAUCUUCACUGUGUUCUAUUGAUCAAAGCCAGCUGUGUGACACUGGCCAGCUCAGAUUCAACAAGACCAAAAACAUAUACCCCUCCAA